AGUGAGAAACAGCCGGCGCUGGGAAAGGAACGGUGCAGCGACCGACCAACUGCGCGCUCGGUGCCACCAAAGUGCUACUGGCUCUACCCACUCUGUCCCCCACGGGCUUAGGGAAGUCUGAUGUCUUUUUCUUUUCUUUUUUCCUCUGUCGCCUAGGCUGGUGCAGUGGUGUCAUCUUGGCUCAGUGCAGCCUCGACUUCCUGGGAUCCAGCGAUCCUCCCGCUUCAGCCUCUAGAGUAGCCGAGACCACAGGUCACCCCUCGCUGCCAGGCUCUCUUCCCGGUCCAGAGCCCACAGGAUCCUACAGGAGGGGCCAACAACUGCUUGCCUUUGAAACUUGAAACUCUCGGUCUAAGGUUCCUUAGGAGCGUAAAAGGCACAGCGUUUUCUGAUCGCAGCUUCAGGUCUCCCGCCCCUGUCCCGGUACCUCUCCUGCAGGACGGAACUCUGUGGGAACGCUCGUUGAUUCUGAUGGUUAACUGUCAGAUAUCCUUGAUAUUGGACAUAGGAUUUGGAAGAGGGCAGGAGAGAAAAAUGAACUGCAAGACUCCAGCACAAGAGGUGGGAUUGCUGGCAGAUGUCUGCUCCCUCUCCAAACCUAAUGAACAUCUCAAAGUGCCAUCCACUUUCCUAUACCCUUGAUCUGUGAAAUGGAUCACUGACGCUUUCUCUGUCUUUCCGGAAAUGCAAAACAGGAACAGAAACAACACACUCAGACUUGAGAAACUGGUCUGGUUUAAAAGGGUUCCUGGCCUUACAGGUGGGUAAGAAAUGUCACUUCCUGGCAGGCUGAGGAACAUCAGGAUAUUUGGAGGACCUUGACAAGGGAAGAAUUCACCGAAAUCUAUAGUCUUGUCAGCUGAAGCUGGAUGGGUUAAUAUAGACUGCAGAGAAAUCACCACCACUCAUACAUGGACUACUCAGAAAUUUCACCAGAACACCUCAUGCAAACUGCAAACCAGGAAAUUCCGUCAGAUUGCCACUGCCUGCCCCCAUUCAAACUGAAGAUACUUCAAGCUUAACAUCUAAAACUUUCUGACUGGCUGC
rnacentral:lncRNA from 10 species